rnacentral:lncRNA from 1 species
UCUAAGAAGCAAGGAAUGAAGGCCCUAUCUCUUGGGUGAUUAGCCUUUGCUUAUGCAAAGAGGAAUCUACAAAGGUAUAAAUUUUCAACUCACUUUGUUUUGAGUUGAGUCUUGGUUCACCAAUCUACUAGGCUUUGAAUUUCAUGGGUAAUGUUUUGUUUUUGAGUGCAUACAUGCAUGAUUCCGCCUUUAAUUGUUAAUUGCAUGCUUUAUAGAUGUUGCUCAAAUAAACAUGUUUUUCACAAAAUUUCCUUCAAGUGGUAUCAGAGCCUAGGUCUAGUAGUUGGUGAAUCCUUUGGGUUUUGUAGUUCAUAGUCUUUGAUUUAAAUGUUGUAAUUGUUACAAGCUUUAUUCUUGCUUCUUUGAAUGUAAAUUUUGUUAGAAAAUUUGCCAUCUCAAAUGUUGUAGAUGUAGUUCAUAUGAGCAUGAAUUUUGGAGCUAAAAUUUGGUGGCAUGUUUUUUGGGAAAUUCGGCCAAAUCCAAAGGGUGGAUUUUUGGGUUCUUGUUUGACUUGUUAAAAGUGUUUUCAAGUGACUUUUGGAACCCCUAUGUACCCUAGUUUGGUUAUAUGUUUAUUUCCCUUAAGUUUGAAGUGGUUUUUUGGAUGUCUUUGGGUGAAAAAUGUUCAUGGAAAGCUUUUAUGGGUUUUUCAUGAAUGUUCUUCAUUGUUCUUGAUGUUUUAGCCAAGAACAAAAAGUUUGGUGUUUUGAUUCAAAGUUUUGAUUUAUUUCAUAAAGUCUUUGUUUUGUGUUUUUUUCAAAUGUUUAAAUGUGAUUGAAAUUUUGAAAGGUGAUAGAAAAUGGUGAUGGGUGUGUAAGAAGUACUUCUCUUACACACACACCACUUGCAUGAAUUUAUGUCAUGCACCACUUGCAUGAAUUUAUGUCACACACCUCUUGCACCACUUGCAUGACUUUAUGUCAAAACCUACAAAAUCAACACACACAUCACUCCAUACACUCUCUAAAACCGGCCACCCUAUUAAAUAGGGUUCUUUUGGGGCUUUUAUGCAAUUACAUAAAGUUUUGAUACUUU